CGGCUGUAGCCGGCGCCAGCGUGAUACAGCUCACCAAACGUCCCCGCGAUACUUUUAUUUCUUUCGUUCGUAUGCACGUAGCACAUCGAUAGCACUUGUCAUUCUUUAGUUCGUUUUCAUUUGUUUUACUCCAAAAAUAAGACAUGCACUGGGUUCGAAACAAUCGGGACAACAGUCACGCUUCACUCUUCUUCAAACUAACAGUGUUCGCGAAGCUUCAAAGCGCAAACCAGUCUGUUGAAAUAAAAGUAUAUUUCAAACGCAAAUAAUAUCUUCUGUACGUCCAAACAAAUUUCUUCCGUGUGUUCUAUUCGAGAGUGAAGUAUUUGGUCCGAAUUAUAUAGUAAUAUAAAAAGAAAUCUUCCUUGAAGUAUUACAAGAGACUGGACAACAGCUAUUAAUUUUUCAAGAAUGUCACGACGAAAAAUUCUAUUCCAUGACCGAUCUACAGAUUCAGAAAACGAUUCAGAUGAUCAAAAUCAAAAUAAUGUUACACUACAGAGAAAGAAAAGAAAAAGAACUAUAUGUAGUACUUCCGACUCAGAAUCAGAGAAGAUUGAAGCAAAUGACAGUUGCCGUGAUAUAUGGACGUCAAAAAGAUUUC